GAUACAACUAUGUUUGGCAAAUUCUAAAAUUAGCAGACUAAAUAGAAAGUUCAACAUAAUGUAUUCAUCUCAUUAUCUGACAUUUGGUACAGCAAAAUACAGCUAAAAAACAGUCAUUUACACAUAUGCCUCAUAAUACCUAACACGGUCAACAAAGAAAUACAUGAAAAGGUCAACUGACCUGAGCUGUUACGUUGCUCAAUCUUGUUUAACUCAUUAAAGUGGCUGGAUAAAUAUAACCUGCUUCUGAAAUAAAACCAAAUCAGGGGGAAAAUCUCUGAUUUAUUUAUACAAGUCAGUGGCUAAAACAAAGGAACACAGAGCCAAAUAAAGCAAGCAUCAAUUAGCAGCAGCUUUUAGCAACGUUCCAGGACAGAAGCGAGACCAAAACCGCUGGCGCUCCCCUUGACGCAGGACAUCUGACAAACUGGAAAACUUGUAAAAGAGAAGAGACAAAGUCAGAGAAACCUGCUUCACCACGGAACACCAGAGAAGCACAUGCUUUUACUUUCUGGGGAAAGUAAAAAUAUGAUGGGAUCAUAGUGUGGGAACACCUAAAUGGGAAGAAGAUUUCUGAUAAUGCACAGUAACAGCCAAUAUUUGGAAGCUGAAACUGGAUGAGUUCAGUGUUUGAAGAUUCUAUCUAAAACGCCAGAGGCUAAGAAAUGCAGUUCAAAGCUGCCUUACAAAAACAAACCAGACAACUGAAUCCUGGGCUGCCCCUCUUUCUUUUUUUUUCUCUCCACCUUUAAAUAAAUACAGACAUAUCUUUAUGUACAUACAAAACCACAGACAUGUUCGUGAUUGCAGAAAAUCUACAUUCUUAGAUUAGUCUUCCAGACAUAAAAUAAUAUUUUCUAUUAAAAUAGACAAUUCUAUUCCCUGUAGUACUCCCCUCUAGUGAAAUCAGUAUUAUAAUAAUACCCCAUUCCAUCUGAAAAUCUCAAACUGAUUUUCAAACAUGAGCAACUUGACCCACAACAGAAUUUCAAGCAUCAAUGGAAAAGUAUAAUAAUUUCAGAUUAAAAUGUGAGCCAGAAUUGUCUCAGUAGCAUUUGCAUACCAUAGGGGAGAGGUAUUAAUUCACUUUAAGGACGUAUCUAUAUCAACUCCUCCCUCAUGCAUUGCUUACAUGUUAAAGCACCCAAGCUCUCUAGGUAACGCUGUGCAAGACCACAGAAAGGCAGGCUCGAGAAACGCUGCUUCGCACCUUUUCCCGCAAAGCAGAGCGUGAAUUCUGCAGACUUAAAGCUGAUUCUGAAGCCUUGAAGACAAGGCAGCUCUGCUGGUUUCUGUGCUCACACCCCACACAAACUCAUCUCCGUGGCCCCAUCUAGGAGAGGAUGCUCACCCUACAUCUCCCCAGCGUCUGGGACCACGGGUGGUAAAUGGGCCGUGUCUCACAGAAGCGGUUCCACCCCCUGCACGAUGUUCGGUAAUUGCACACUGCUGUGCAGAGCUCAGCCUCCAGCAUCUAGGCCAUGUGGAGAAUACUGGUUUUUCAUUUGAAUAGCUCAGGUAUACUAACUGCAACUUCACACGUAUUUAGUAUAAAGAGAGAUAAAUAUCUAAGUACAACAAAAAGAUGAAAAAGAAAGCUGUAGAUACUAAUACAUCACUCAAAUAAAAAUGAGGCUUAAUUUAUUUUUUAAUUAGAUGAAAAAAAGAAGAGGCAUUUACUAUUAUACUCUCUGAAAGUACAUAAUUGAUAAGCAACUUAGAAUUGGUCCAGGACUAGGGACAAUACCAUUACUAAGACAUUAAUUCUUAAGCUUGUUCUGGCACAUUCUCAUAAAUUUACCUCCAGUCUAUGCACAUUAUAUACUUCAUUCAUUCUUUUGUUUCCAAACUUCUGCCCGCACUGUAAGGUAAACCACACUGGAUAGGGCUCCUUACUGAUCUACUGUAUUAUCUCACUGAAUAAGAUGAACCUUAUUCAAAUGAUCUACUUCCAAGUUCUGCAUUGUCUUUUCAGUUCAACAGUGAAAUCACAGAGAGGCUCUCUAUUAUAAACACUUCCGCUGACUGAGACAGGAACCCUCACAAUCUGGUUUGUGAAGUUUCAAGAGUCAGUGAAAGCCAUAAAGGAAAGACAGGUAAAGGGAAACCAGCGAAUUCCACGUUAUCUGUUCAGCUGCUUUCACUCAUGCUAAGUAGCAUAAUGGAAAACGGCUAAUAUUGCUUGGAAAAAUAAGAACUGUCCUUACUGUGAUAGGCAGCUCUGAGCAUUGCAGAACUUGUGCUUAUUAAAAAUAAAUGUUUAAUCUAUUUAUAAACAACAGGGCAUCUAGUAAGUGCAUUGAUUAAAGGCGGAAAGCAAGGAUAAAGGUUUAAGUCUCUAAUACCAGGAACAACUGCUUCCAGAUCUCCAUAGAUGGCUCCAUUACCUAGGGCCAAUUCUGAAUAAUUUCAUAAAUACAAGUUCCAAAGUGAAUAUAUAAAAAGCACAACUAUGUGACCUUGUCCUGUUCUCUCUCAGCACUUUACUGGACCAGAAAUUGUCCAGUGAGUAGAAAGUUACAGAUCUCUUGCAACACUGAGUUUAAACCCCUAUGGCUGACAGUUCUCUAUUGAAAGCUUUCGGCCACUAGAAAGCAGCACUGAUUUCAGCCAAACUAAGCUAUGAAAACCAGAGCAAUCAAGCAAAACCAAAGAUACUAAAAUUACGCUGGAGAAGACAUUCAGAGAGGGAGCUAAAGGUGUCUGAAAAGCUGCAGUGCUGUCAAGAGCACUUGAAUCCUAAAUACUUCUUUCCCGCAGAUUGCCCUGGGUACUCCCUUGUAACCUCUUGGAAUAUUUGCCUGUUACCCCAUCUACAGGACAGCAACCAAGGUCUCUGGGUAGAUUAAUAACGUGUGUUUGUGAAGCACUGCAAACAUGAGAACAGACAACAUAGGGCUUUCCAAAAAGAUGGACUCAAUUUGAAAUCACCGUAUCCCUGCAUUGGGUCCGUCUUUUUGAAGCACCGUGUAUAGGUGAUAUCUUCUCAAGUCAGAUGUAGAAUUAAAGAAUACUUUCAAGAAAAUGUCUGUAUACGUACUAUGUGUGUACAUAUACCGUUAGACUAAAAAGGAAAUUAAAACUUUAGGUCUUUAGAAACUAUAAUAAUAAUUACUUUAUCAUGAGCUCUGAACUGCCAUCUGCUCAUUAGCAGAAAGCAGUGCCUGUACUUUAAUGAUACUAAAACAUAUCUCUUGUCCUGUGAAUGCUUAGUGAAGAAUCUCUGCAUACCAUGGAACGUAUACAUAUCCAUUAUAUCCAUUCUGAUGUGAUGUAUUAGUUCCAAAUUGACAUGGAAGGAAAAAAAGCCUGAUCUGACAGCAAAAGGCUACAAAUAGUACAGCAUAAGUGCACUGGAAGCUGACAACAUUUAAUUGCAUCCCACAGAAGCAGAAAUCAACACUGCAGUUUUCAACCAGGCACAGUAAAUUAACCUCUGAAUAAUCUCGGAAUAAGUACACAGCAGAGCUUAUCUGUGAACUGAACUUGCCUUUUAAUACCAUUUCCAGCAAACAAGUUAAAAAAUAGUCUGUGGCUGACCUUUAGUAACAAGUUCCUAUCUGUAUGUUCAUCUUGAGAAAAAGGUUAAUCCACAGAUUACAGAAACUCCGGGCAAACAAAUUAUUGAUGAUAUAAAGCUGCCUCGUCCAACCUGCAGCACACACCACACAUCUGACCCAUUGACUUCUGCCCGGCAGGGCCGGGGAACAGCUGUCUGGGUAGAAAACGCUGCCGCCUGCUCUUGGAACUCACAGCCACUGUCCUGCUCCUCUCAAAUCCACUGCCCUUGUUGAUCACAUCAGGGGAUGUUUCUACUACUAGUAGCAGUUUGGACCACAUGGAAUUAAGAUGGUAGGCACAGUACAAUACACUGUACUCAAGCCUUUCAACACUGUGGAACCUUCAAAUCAUGUUUUACUGGCACUGUGCACCACUGGCUGAACACGUAUACAUUAAAAACUCUCAAUCUCCAAGUUAAAGGGCUUAAAGAAGUGAAUUAAUUUCAAGAAGGGUUACUUCAGAUCGUCUAUCAGUUAUUCAUGCUGCAUCAGUUCCUGAGUUCACGCUCUGAACUCAGGUUCUGUACUUUCCUAAGGACAGCUAAAGACCAGAUUAACACUUGCUACAAAGGAAGUUGAAAUGCAAAUUCCCUUCGUUACCUUCUGUGUCAGCAAAAUCAUUAGAUUUUUGGGGGUAAAUUACAGAGUUCUAAGGACCUGAAUUCUAGUCUUAGCUGGUAAAACAGACUGACUUUUAAGUUUUGCAAAUUCAAUACACUUCAUAAAGUCUGGAUUUUGACUUUAAAUUAUUUUAAAACUGUUAUUAUUAAUUCAGCUUUACAUUUGAUUAAUGCCUUCCCUUCACGUGACACCACCGCAGCUCUGGACCUGGCUACUGCAGGAGCAUCCAAUGUUGAAAAAUUAAUGGAUGGACUAAAAAAUCUGUUCUUUGUAUAGAAAUAUAUCAUAUGUUUAGCUAAAAUGAAGCUUACAGUUAUAGCUUCUAUCUAUAAAAAACAAGAGUAGCAACUACUUUCACGCAGAACAACCCCCCAAAAUGUUGACGAAAGCACAGUUUAAGAGUCUUUAUUUUUUAAACACUUGGGCCACAAAAUACCCACUGCCCAAUAUAAAAGAAGGCUUGUUGGUGUAAACCAACGCAUCGUGUAUUCAAAAUCUUCAAAUGGCUAAGAGCCAAAAGACACAUAUCACAUACAUAAAAGGCAGGCAGGAGGUGAGAGCAGGACAGGACCGAUGACUCCGCAGGGUCCCACUGCCAGGGGAGCUGGGGGAGGCGCUGGACGGAUGGGGGGCGCAGGGGCCUUUGCAGACUUGUUUCCAUCCCCAGCCACAACCUGGCACUAGAGAGCGGGCAGCCGACCCGCAGCUCACACCAGUACAAGGGCACGUUACACAACAGCAGCUCAUAAAGAUGCCUAUUCAACUCUGGGGAUGUGGCUACUUGGUUUUUUUAAAUGAACACUGUGCAUGUGUGUACUUCUACCUUUUGCUAUAUAUAUAUUCUUGCUGUAUAAUUGUCCAUUUAAGUCUCGACAGGACAUAUACUGAUUACCUGUGUAAAUACCCUAAUACACCAAAACCAGGAGACAAGCUGCUGUAAGAAGCUCAACAGGAGAAAAAGCAGUGCCAGUUCUAAGCAUGUUAGCACGUGAAGUGCCACAGAAUUGGCUGGACAUGAUGUUAGAAAGAUGAGGGCAUGCUCCAGCAGGAGACUCAAAGUGAACUAAACUGGGAACUGUUUGUCCACUACAAAAAUCAACAACAUUUUAAAGCCCAUUUUCAACAUAGGUGGUAACUAAACACAGAACUUCAAGAAUUAACAGGCAAAUUAAUUUGGGAGGCAAUAUCUUUGGCCAUAGAAGUAAUCAGUAUUAACCAAAUUAAAGUCUUACGUAAGGAUUUUUCUUCCAAAAAGAAACUUUGACUUUUAAAUAGAUUUAUUAUUUGUAAGGAUUGAAACAAUGUGCUGUUGUUUCUGUCAGUAGUGUCCUCUAGUGGAGAAAUGGGAGAUAGUAAGUAAACAAGAAAACAGAAGUGAACCGCAUCACAGAAAUCGCCCUCUCAAAAGAAAUACAAACACCUCUUGAUCACAAAUGCACCUAUAAAAGUUUGGCACAUCGACCAAGCUUUUCAUUAUUAUAAUAAUGCUUAAACAUAAAUGUUAAAUAACUUUUUAAAGAUUCAGUCCGACUGGGAAAUCAAUCAGUUGUGAGGCUAUACACAAUAACUGGUUGAGUCUGCCAGACAAUACAAUGUGCCUCUGUAUGUAUGUAUAUAUAUAUAUAUAUAUAGCAUCACAAAAUACAAUGUGGCUAUAAUUUGGGUAAAGCCACUAGUCCGUGACAGCUACGCUGACACCUCCUGUGAUUUCUCCGGCCCCCAUUGAAUCCAGGUAUCAGACUUUAUGCCGCGUUUCUUCUAGAGGCGGAGGCAUCCUUAACUUACCUAGUGACUCUGGUUUGCCUACAGAAAUGCUUUGCUCCUGAAACCAGGAAUCUGUUCUACUCACAACUCCUAAACUCAUCUAUUAUUGUCUUCCAUCUCCAUCUCUUCCUUUUCCUACAUAAAAGCCAACUAAAAUAAUGGGGGGGUGAGGGGCAGAAAAGAACUCUUCUUUUUAGGACCACAGAUUUUUGUGACCCUUCAAGGCUCCAAAGACAAGAAUUAUUAAUUUUGAAAAAAUGAAUCAUUGCUCUGCCUGCUAAUCGUCCUGCUUUCUUCGGUAAUGCUGACCACCCUUGCCUUGAAGGAGUCUUGCUGAUUUACAGACCUCAGUUAAACUUGCAUCAAUUGUUUUUAGCCAAAAUUUAGGUUCAAAAUUUGAUGCUUCUAAUUCACACUUGACAGUUCUCUUCAACUAUGAAAUAAAAGCCACAAACCUCAAGCUAUGGCCUCUGUGCUUCAAAGCUAGUUGGAUUUUUCCAGUAACAUGAUUUCGCAUAAAAUACACCACCUAUUUAUGUCUCUCUUGCUUAGCUUAUGAAUUCUUAUUUCAAGAGUUUGAUAUCAAAUUACGGUAUCUCAUACAAAACAACGAUUAUGUGCAGCAAUUAUGCCACAUCCAGUUCAAAUAUAAUCAAUAGUAAUUUUAGAAAAGCUUGAAGAUACAUUAUUGCCUUUCAGCUCAUCCAGAAUUCUCUUCUCCUGCAAAAUAAAAUCCAGCCAUUA